GGUGCGCUGAACCUUGGCAUGGUCUGCUCGACGCAGAUCCACCAACAAAGGAUAAAGGAUGAGGCCGCAACACAAGUGCAUGUAUUUGUCUUAAGAUUCGUGGUUAGCGAACAGCUAACUGAGAGUAAACAAUCGCAUCGGCUCGCUUCUCAGACCAGAGACCAGAGGCACAAAGUAGCUCAGCGCCAAGCGGAUAACUUUGAGGAGAACAACAGAGCAACCAGUUCCUUCAUCUACACAGACUGCACAGCAAGGACUUUUUUCAAUUGAAACCAAAAUUCCUCCCCGCCUGGCUCAUCCACAUGGCCAGCCAACAGCAGCACGCCAAGGAGACUCUUCUUCUGCCACGGACUGAGAAAUGUAUUCUUCUGACAGCUGGGACCAUGCUGCCCCCACACAAUACCACACAACCAGUCUUGCUCAUCAGUACAGCGUGGGACUUAGAGAGCCGUGGAGACCAUGAGGACCAACCUUGGUGUGUGUGAUAUCUGUGUUGUUCUGAAGUGAAAAAGAUUCUCUGACCAGUCCCAACAGUAAGAGCAGUACCAGAUGUCCUCCUCAUCCACUGCAGUUGAAUGACCUGAGGAGGUCACCAGCAUCCAGCUUGGACUGGCAUUACCUGCAUGUCAUCACUGCCCUCUCUGCCUCACCUAGCGAUGCAGGUGAAACAGCUGCUGCCAGUCCAGGGAAGACAGACAA